ensembl:lncRNA
AUACUGGAGUGGUAGCCUUUCCCUUCUCCAGGGGAUCUUCCCAAUCCAGGGAUUGAAACCAGGUCUCCCGCAUUACAGAUCACAUGCUCCAGGGGAAUCUAGGUGCCAAUUUGUGAAAACACUCAAAUGGCCACAUAGACAGGCCACAUGUCAAGGAGUUGAGUUCAUCUAACAAUCAUAAAAGAAGUGAGGCUUCCUGACAAAGUAAGCUGUUUUGGAAGCAGAUUCCCCAGUCCCUAGUCAAGCUUUCUGAUGACGACAAUCCUGGUUGACAUCUUGACUACAACUUCUUUAGACACCCUGGCCUAAAACUACCCAGUGAAUUAUUUUAGUCUGAAAAAGUGAAAGUGAAAGUCACUCAGUCAUGUCCAACUCUUUGUGACCACAUGGAUUGCAGCCCACCAGGCUCCUCUGUCCAUGGAAUUCUCCAGGGCUCAACCCCAAUAGGAUGCUUGGAAAAGGCAAGUUUGGAGAUGGGAGUGGUUCUCAGUCAUCUUCAGUGAUGGACCUGCACAGACAGUUUUGACAGGAGAACACAAACCGCGAGUUGUGAAUAGAAAACAGAAGAGAACUGGACAGUCUGAGCAGAGGCUCCCAAAAGCAUACACUGGCAGCAAGUAUUUGGCAUCUCUUGAGGAAUGUUGAUCUUUUCAACGAGUAUUCCUGGUUAGUAAAACCAUCUCUGCUACAAUAGCCACAGCAGACUGAAAAGGCAACUGCAGGAGCCACUGAAAGCAAUCAGAUGCGGUUACAGGAAGGCUGACCACGCAGUGGAUGCGGCAGCUUUUCACGCUACUCUCUCAUUGCCUCGGAACCCUGACAUAUGUUCCCAGUAUUGAAGGCAGUUAUCAUAUGGCUCCUUUGCAUCCUGCCUCCUUUGUGUCAGGAGUCAUUUCUGAGCAUGUCCAAAUAAGUGUUAUACUGUACAAUGCUUUCUAAUAGUAGACACUUCUUACCACUGAAUCAGUAAAAUAUCUUGAG